GUAGGGAAUCUUCGGCAAUGGACGAAAGUCUGACCGAGCAACGCCGCGUGAGUGAAGAAGGUUUUCGGAUCGUAAAACUCUGUUGGUAGAGAAGAACGUUGGUGAGAGUGGAAAGCUCAUCAAGUGACGGUAACUACCCAGAAAGGGACGGCUAACUACGUGCCAGCAGCCGCGGUAAUACGUAGGUCCCGAGCGUUGUCCGGAUUUAUUGGGCGUAAAGCGAGCGCAGGUGGUUUAUUAAGUCUGGUGUAAAAGGCAGUGGCUCAACCAUUGUGUGCAUUGGAAACUGGGAGACUUGAGUGCAGGAGAGGAGAGUGGAAUUCCAUGUGUAGCGGUGAAAUGCGUAGAUAUAUGGAGGAACACCGGUGGCGAAAGCGGCUCUCUGGCCUGUAACUGACACUGAGGCUCGAAAGCGUGGGGAGCAAACAGGAUUAGAAACCCGAGUAGUCC
rnacentral:rRNA from 1 species